GAUACCCUACGGGGGGCAGCAGUGGGGAAUAUUGCACAAUGGGGGAAACCCUGAUGCAGCGACGCCGCGUGAGUGAAGAAGUAUUUCGGUAUGUAAAGCUCUAUCAGCAGGGAAGAAAAUGACGGUACCUGACUAAGAAGCCCCGGCUAACUACGUGCCAGCAGCCGCGGUAAUACGUAGGGGGCAAGCGUUAUCCGGAUUUACUGGGUGUAAAGGGUGCGUAGGUAGCAGGGCAAGUCAGAUGUGAAAGCCCGGGGCUCAACCCCGGUACUGCAUUUGAAACUGUCCAGCUGGAGUGCAGGAGG
rnacentral:rRNA from 1 species